CUUUGGGAUAGAGGAGAGGGGAGGGGGGGGUGAAGGAGGUCCCCGGGGGGGCCCUUCCCGCAGAGCUGUCACUCGGGGGUGACCCACGGGGGAGCCCCGGGGCUGGGCUGGAGCCGCCGCUUUGUGCUUUGAGCUUUUUUUAUUAUUAUUACUGGUUUGCCUUUUUCUCCUUUUUUUAUUUUGCCCUUUUCUCCCUUUCCCCCCCUUUCCUCUUCAUUUUUUUCAUUGCCCUUUUCUCCUUUUUUUUUUUUUUUUUGCCACCCUUUUCUCCCCUUUUUCUGCCCAUUCAUUCCUUUUCUUCUACCCAUUUCUCCUUUUUUUUUUUUCUCCUUUUCUCCUUUCAUCCCCAUUUCCCCCAUUUUUCAUAUAUAUAUAUUUUUCCCCCUUCUUUUAAUAAUGCCUCGUUAUUCCCCCCCUCCUAAAACCAAGGGCAGCUCCUGGGGUCAGCGCUCCCCCUCCAGAUGGAAGGAGGUUGGGCAAAGCAAAGCCACUUUUUUAUUACCAUUUCCCCACUUUAACCCUUCCUUCUGAUUACCGCUAUUUUUCCGGUGGCUGUUUAUGCGCCUCUCCCCCGCCUCCCCCCCUACCCCCCCUUCCUUUAAUCCUUAUAAUUUAAAUCAAAAGUGUCGGGGAUGCAGAUGGGGGGAGCGCUGUGUCUGCAGGGCGAGGCCGGGCGUAAAUCUCUUGGAGGGAUAAACAUGUCAUUUGUUCCCUUUGUAUGGUAAUGCGUCCCCCCCACUCCCGCAGAUGCCCCCCCCCCCCCCUUCACCCCCCAGCAGCUGCCCCGGCCAUACAUCCUCCCUACAAAAGAUCCCAAUUACCCAUCGGCUGCCUCAUUAUACCCCUAACACAGAGGCGUGUGCGAGCGGCGGCGGAGGGGAGGGCUGGGGGAGAGGAGGGGGUGGCAGCACCUGAAUUAUUCAGAAAAUGCAAUAAAAUAAAAUGAAAUAAAAGAAAAUUCAAGAAACUGCAGAGGGGAGGGAGGUGGAGGGGGCCGCGACCCCGCGGCCUAACGCCGAGCGGUGCCCCCGCAGAGCCCCUGCAGCCCCGCGCUGCUCCACCACCACCCCACCUUCUUAUAUUCUUCCUCCUUUUUUAUCCCUUUUUUUCCCCCCUCCACCCUUUUUUUUCCUCCUCUUAUAGGCAGACAGGUGCCUGAUAGCCCAUCGCCUACCCUGCAUCCCGCUGGGGCCCUUCUCUCAUCCCUUCUCCUAUCCUCUUUCCCGUCCUUUUCUCCCAAGCUGUUUCUCCUACCCAUUUUCCCAUCCCCUUUCCCAUCUCUUCUCCAUUCCCUUUUCCUAUCCCUUCUCCUGAACCUUUCCCCCAUCUCUUUCUCCUAUCUUUUUCUCCAUCCUCUUUUCCCAUCCUUUUCCCUUCCUUUUCCCCAUCCCUUUUCUCAUCAUUCUCCCAUUCCUUCUCCCAUCCCUUCUCAUCUCUUUCCCCCAUUCCUUUAACCCAUUCCUUUUCCCAUCCUUCUCCCAUCCCUUUCCCAUCCCCUGUCCAAUUCCAUUUCCCGUCUCUUCUCCCCAUUCCUUUUUCCCAUCCCUUUUCCAUUCUCCUUCCAUUCCCUUCUUCCAUUUCCUCUCCCGCCCUUCUUCUUCCCAUCCUCUUUCCCAUCCCCUCUCUUUGCAGCUGGAGCCCAUCCACUGCCCUCGCCCACAGCUGGCCCAGUGUUCCCAGCAGGAGCCCAGCACUGGCCAAAGCCAACCCUUACUGGAGGUUCCUCUUUCUCACCCCAUGGCCUGGGGCCCCCAGAUCUCUUUGCAGCUCCGUGAGCAGACUCUUGCCUCUGGGAUGGGAGCAGAGAUGAUGGCUCGGGGUCCCUGGGACAGCUCCUUGCACCCCCCCAGGGGUGCUGCAGGACCAUUUUUCCGGGAUCUGCAGCUCAUUCCCAGCCACACACCUCCCAGGAGCAGGGCUACAAAUCACCUCCAUCGCCCUAAAUGUAGCCUGAUGAUGAGAUCAUAAGCAUGGAUCUUGGUGGCAUCGUCACAUUAUGGGGUCGGGCAGUGAAACCGCGUGCGGUACCCCGAGGAGGAGGGAUGGCUGAGCAUGGCACAGUGGUGAUGCUCCCACAUACCACCCUAUCCCUGUUGUUAAAACAUCUCCAAACAAAGCAUCCCCUAAAAAUAUAUGUUUCCCUCCAUCCAAGAUGCCCUGAAUCAGGCCAAUAGUGAGAUUAAUUCCAAUCAGGACCAUGGGGACCCAAGAGACUAGGUUUGCUCCAAGCUCACAUGGGUGAUGAGCGACCAAAGGAGGAAAACCUACAGGCUUUGCCCAUUGUGGGUCUGGGAGGAGAGGAGCUGGAAGGCAGUCCUCUGCUGAGGAUGCAGGAUGCUCUGUUUCCAUGGCACUUGCAGAGUUGUGUGUGCGUGUGCACAGUCCCAAGCCAUGCAGCGAUGAUGGGGUGGUGAUGCUGCUAUGGCAUCCCAGUGUCUAUAGUCCUUUUCACAUGCUUUGCUCCACAGCCAGGGAACAGGGCUGAAAAUCAACGCUCAGAGGGGGAAGGGAACCAGGAGUCAGCACUGCUGUGCUCCCUGGUUUGGAAUGAGGCUGCUCUCCAAGAGGGGAAUGAGUCUGCUGGGGGAUGAGUAAGGAAGAGGGAUCCCCAUGGCUCCCUGUUACAGUCAGACACAUCCUGACCUCCUCAAUGGGAUCACAUGGGUUAGAGGGCAAGAGCUGCAUAAGAAGAGUUCAAGAGAUUUCUGCCCUCAUCCAGAGUUUUAAUGGGGACACGAUGCAAGAUGUACAAAUCUUUAAUUGCUAUCAGUACUUGGAAGGAUAUGAAUGGAAUCAGCACUCCUCACGUGAACCUGUACAUCAUGGCACAUAAAUACAUUUAUACCUGUCCCAGAAACCCCAAUCCCUAAAAUAUCCAUCCUCUCAUUCCAUGUAAACGUCAUGAUUUUAGGGCACGACACCGUCCCAGCCCUAAAGGUCACAUUAGGAGGAUCCUGAGCCCUUCUCGACCCACGGCAAGAAAGCAGCAUUUCCAAGUCAGUCUGGGUCGCUCCCAUGGUCUUUUGGGAUCAUUUCAUCCAAAGUGUGGGAUUUAGGUUAGAUAUUAGGAAGAAGUGCUUCACAGUGAGAGUGGUGAAGAGGUGGCACAGGCUGCCCAGAGAGCUGUGGGUGCCCCAUUCCUGGCAGUGCCCAAGGCUAUGGAUGGGGCUGUGGGCAGCCUGGGCUGUGGGAGGUGCCCCUGCCCACAGCAUGGAUUGCACUGAGGGGUCUUUAUGGGCCCUUCCAACCCAACCCAUAUUGAUGCACCCACAUCUUUCGGUGACCCAUAGCUGCCUUCCCAAAUGUGUUGAGGUUUUCAGCAGCACACAAAGGCUGGCAAAUGCUGCUUUUGCCCUGCCAUUGCUUCGUGCUCGCUUUGCCCCACUGAUGACAGACCAAAAAUAAACCAAGAGCCCAUCUCCCCUUCAGCAUCCCCUCCUCCCCCAGACACAAAGCACGGCGCGGAGCGUAUCCAGAUGGGGAAAGGCAAAUGGCUGGGGAGGGAGGAGGCUGGGGAUGGAGAGACAGCAGCCAUCAGUGCACAAACCUGACACAAAUCCCUUGGCCACGGCGACAUGUGAGGAUUUCUCCUUUUUUAUUUCAUUCCUUUUUAUGAACGUUUCGUUAUUUGUACGGAGACGUUUUUAUUUUAAACCAAGAUGUGCUGAAGUGCUUCCAUGUGGCAACAGCUGUAGAGAUGAGCUAAUACAAAGCUCAGCAAUUUCCCCGUGAGCACGGGUCUUCCUCUGCAGUCAUCAAACUGAUAACAUCUUAUACAGAGAAGACAAAAGUAAUGCGUACGCGUGUGUAAUUUGCAAUGUCAAUGUGUUCGACUGUGUGUUGGAAUCAUAAAAGUUAUUUCAUUUAUUACAGUCGUGCAUAAGGCUUCUUAGAGCUGCAGACUUGGAAUAGGCAAUUAUGCCCAUAGGUUAAUAACAUACAGCCAUUUGACUGACAACUGGAAUUAGAUUUAAACACGGCAGAGUGGUAUACUAAAGGCACUUUAUUAAAACAGUGGCUGGGGAUUUGUUCAAAAUACCAGUCUCAUACCUUUCCUGGUAAACUACUUAUAAGCAGCACUAUAUCGUGGCCUGUUAUAUUGCAUUUGUUCUCCUUUCCCCUUCUACUUCGUGUUGAGCCAUAUAGCGAGGGAUUUGGCUGGUCAGGUUUUGCUGGAGAGAAGGCAGCC
ensembl:lncRNA